CUCCAAUCAUUAUCUGAUCUCUGGAGUUUUCAGAUUAUUCAAGUGAUCAUAUAACAGCAGUAAUCUGAUUAUGAGAAAUCAGAUUAACACACCUGGAUUUCUCUCCAAGACUCCGAUGUCUUCCUGUAUGUAUGCAGGUUAAUCUGAUUUAUUUUGUUCCUUUACGUCUGGGCAUGU